GAGUUUGAUCGUGGCUCAGAUUGAACGCUGGCGGCAGGCCUAACACAUGCAAGUCGAGCGGUAGAGAGAAGCUUGCUUCUCUUGAGAGCGGCGGACGGGUGAGUAAUGCCUAGGAAUCUGCCUGGUAGUGGGGGAUAACGCUCGGAAACGGACGCUAACACCGCAUACGUCCUACGGGAGAAAGCAGGGGACCUUCGGGCCUUGCGCUAUCAGAUGAGCCUAGGUCGGAUUAGCUAGUUGGUGAGGUAAUGGCUCACCAAGGCGACGAUCCGUAACUGGUCUGAGAGGAUGAUCAGUCACACUGGAACUGAGACACGGUCCAGACUCCUACGGGAGGCAGCAGUGGGGAAUAUUGGACAAUGGGCGAAAGCCUGAUCCAGCCAUGCCGCGUGUGUGAAGAAGGUCUUCGGAUUGUAAAGCACUUUAAGUUGGGAGGAAGGGCAGUAAAUUAAUACUUUGCUGUUUUGACGUUACCGACAGAAUAAGCACCGGCUAACUCUGUGCCAGCCG
rnacentral:rRNA from 1 species